UGGAUGCACCAAGCCAAGUCCCUGGAUGGCAGUAAUUAGCUAUUUAGUUUGUGCGAAGCCAACUUAGUUCACAAAAAAGGGAGAUUGUAUGGACUAGGGAUCCCACAUAGGGUUUCACCAAGUGUUUGUUUGGCACUUGUUAGGUGCAGAGUCUGUACCUGGUUCUUUUCCAGAGAGAAGUAAACAUAGAAGGUAUCCACAAAGUUCAACAAAACUUUAAAAUAAUUAAUUAAUUUAAUGUCUUAAGAUUUUUUCAUUUGCCACUGAACAUAUUUUUCCAUCUGUGUUUUUCCCCCUACUUUGUAACUCUGGCCUAUCUUGAGACAUUACUUUAAUUCCUUCUCCUAAUGUUUCAUUUAAUUCAGCUUAUUUGUUACCGUCCAUAAAUGCUUACUUCCCUCUAGGCUACUGUCAACUGUACUUUUCCAGCAGUUCAUUAAGUGGUCUUACUUACUAGAAUAAGUCCUAAGUCCUAUCCUCAAUGGGUAUCUACCCAGACCUGAACAACACACAGAAUAUAAACAUAUUUAUUUCAGUUCCUGAUCAAUAUCAUGCUACAUACAAUUUUCUGUAAGUCAUACUUUCAAUGAUCUCUCAUCAAAAGUCCAACAAAUCUAGUCCACCAUCUCUAAUAUCCAAGCCUCAAUCUUCCAGCAUAGUUUGAGCAGUAUUAGUGUUGCUUUAGAUGCUGCUCUGCACAUCUUUCGCAUGGCAAUUUUAUUGGAAUGGCAAAUCAAUGUUUGUGUGCUGCCUAGCGCUCUACUUUCAGCUUAUUAGCCCGUAUCAGUUAUAACAAGAAGCAAGCAGCUGUUUUGAUAUAUUUACAGGAUAAGAUAAAAUGGUUGGAUGACAAUAAAUCUAUUGUAACAGAUGGAACAAAAUGAAUGCUACUCCUGGAUGAAUAAAGCCACAUUAAUAGUUGCUCAUAAUUGUCAACCUGGCAGAGAAUACGAGACUAAUAAAGUGAAUACCUAGAGGAAUCUAAAAAGAUAAAGAGGUUGGGGAGAUCAAUAGCAAACGUGGCCAAAAGCCUAACUCUGCAUCAGGAAUUGGACCGGGUUGGUUACAUUCGAUAUACAGUGUCUUCAGAAAGUAUUGAAACCCCUUGACUUAUUCCACAUUGUCACGACUUCCGCCGAGGUCGGUCCCUCUCCUUGUUCAGGCGGCGUUCGGCUGUCGAUGUCACUGGCCUUCUAGCCAUCGCCGAUCCACUUUUCAUUUUCCAUUUGUUUUGUCUUUGUCUUACACACCUGGUUUCAAUUCCCCAAUUACUUGUUCAUUAUUUAACCCUCUGAUCCCCCAUGUUUGGUUGUGAGUAAUUGUUUAUUUGUAUUGCGGUCCGUAUUUGUGGCCUUGUAUUUAUACGACGU
rnacentral:lncRNA from 1 species